AUUGAACGCUGGCGGCAGGCCUAACACAUGCAAGUCGAGCGAGCGGCGGACGGGUGUGUAAUGUCUGGGAAACUGCCUGAUGGAGGGGGAUAACUACUGGAAACGGUAGCUAAUACCGCAUACCCUCAGAUGUGCCCAGAUGGGAAUAGCUAGUAGGUGGGGCAACGGCGCACCUAGGCGACGAUCCCUAGCUGGUCUGAGAGGAGGAGCCGCCACACUGGAACUGAGACACGGUCCAGACUCCUACGGGAGGCAGCAGUGGGGAAUAUUGCACAAUGGGCGCAAGCCUGAUGCAGCCAUGCCGCGUGAGUGAAGAGGGCCUUCGGGUUGUAAAGCACUUUCAGCGGGGAGGCGUUACCCGCAGAGGAAGCACCGGCUAACUCCGUGCCAGCAGCCGCGGUAAUUC
rnacentral:rRNA from 1 species